rnacentral:lncRNA from 1 species
CUGUACACGCACUGCUUGGAGCUUAUGAGCCUUUAUAAGGGGACGGGAUUCUUGGCUCGGGGGUCUCCCUAAUCGGAAACUGAUCAUCUGUCUCUCAAGAUGCAUUAAAGCUUUACUGCAGAAGGAUCCGAGUGUUCUGUGUCAUUCUUGCUGGCGAGACGAUCGCGCGGGACAUCUGGUGCCGAAACCCAGGAACUUGUUGACAUCGCCGGCGCCGCGGGAGACCCCUCGGAGGACGGGGCGGAUUCAGAACUGCAGGGAGGCCUCUUUGACCCUGAACACAUGAGAUAUGACAUCUACUCAGGACCCUACUCAGGACCCUUCCAUGGUAGAGGGCUGGUUCUCUUCAAGGCUUGGAAUGGCAAAUCCUUUACCUCAAUCCUAUAUAACAAUAGUCCACGCUACAGGCCCUGUAAUGGUGUUCAGGCUGAUGUCAUUAAGGAAGACAGCAUGAAGAUCAGUAGGAUUGUCAACAUGGGAUAGGGACUGAGAAUGCUCAUGGAAGUGGCAGUCUCCUCCUCUAAACACCCCUUCUUUGCAGGAGAUCCCACAUACCAUCAGCAGAUGGCUGUGCCAUUGGGCAGAUAGAUCAAGUGUGGCAAGCACCUGCAUGUGCACCUGUGGAGAGAAUUCUCCCUAGAGCCCUAUCCCAACUGUGCCCUGGCACCCCCUCCCUGCCAGAGCAUUUCGCUUCCUCCUCAGUCCACUGGUCUGCACCUGGCAAAAAUUUCCCCUCCAGUUCUUGAGAUAGGGUCUUGCCUAGUCUAGAUUUCAG